CUUUUCGUCACAACGGUGCGGUAAAGCGAGUGCGAUACUGACCCCGCUGCUCCGAUUCUCCGGCCAAACUCAUACUCCAUCUUCCCCUUACUUGUGAACAAGACCCCGAGGUACUUGAACUCCUUCACUUGGGGUAAGGACACAUUCCCUACCUGGAGUAGGCAAUCCAUCGGUUUCCUGCUGAGAACCAUAGCCUCAGAUUUAGAGGUGCUAAUCCUCAUCCCGACCGCUUCACACUCGACUGCAAAUGCUCCAGUGAGAGUUGCAGGUCACAGACGGAAGAUGCCAUCAGGACCACAUCCUCUGCAAAAAGCAGCAAUGAGAUCUACAGCCCUCCGAACUGUAGACCCUCCUCCCCCCGACUACGCCUCGAUAUCCUGUCCAUGAAAACCACAAACAAGAUUGGUGACAAGGCGCAGCCCUGGCGAAGGCCAACCCCCACCGGAAACGCCUUCGACUUACUGCCGAGCACCCGAACACAGCUCUCGCCUUGGGCGUAGAAGGAUUGGAUGGCCCCAAGCAAGGACCCCCUCACCCCGUACUCCCGCAGCACCUCCCACAGUUUCUCUCGGGGGACCCGGUCAUGCGCCUUCCACAAAACACAUGCAGACUGGAUGAGCAUACUCCCAAGCCCCCUCUAUGAUCCUAGAAAGAGUGAAGAGCUGGUCCGUUGUUCCAUGACCAGGACGAAAACCGCAUUGUUCCUCUUCAAUCCUUGGUUCGACUAUCGGCCGAACCCUCCUUUCCAGCACCUUAGAGUAGACUUUACCCGGGAGGCUGAGUAGUGUGAUACCCCUGUAAUUGGCACACACUCUCUGGUCCUCCUUUUUGAAGAGGGGUACCACCACCCCGGUCUGCCACUCUUUUGGCACUGUCCCAGACUUCUACGCAAUGUUGAAGAGGCGUGUCAUCCAAGACAACCCCCAAAAACCCAUUGCUUUUAGCAUCUCUGGACGGAUCUCAUCAAUCCCCGGGGCUUUGCCACUGCGGAGUUGUUUGACUACCUCAGUGAUCUCCACCAGGCCAAUUGACGAUGAUCCCUCCUCCGCCUCCAGCUCCGGCUCUACCAAAGAGGGCGUAGUAGUUGGAUUCAGGAGUUCCUCAAAGUGUUCCUUCCACCGUCCGAUAACCUCCUCAGUCGCGGUCAACAGGGUCCCAUCCUUACUGUACACAGCUUGGAUGGUUCCCCGUUUCCCCCUCCUGAGGUGACGGAUGGUCUUCCAGAAGCACUUUGGUGCCGACCGAAAGUCCUUCUCCAUAGUUACCCCGAACUCCUCCCAUACUCGCUGCUUUGCCUCCAUCACGGCAGAGGCUGCUGCCCUUCGAGCCUGUCGGUACACUGCAACUGCCUCCGGAGUCCCACCGGAUAUCAUAACCCGGAAGGCCUCCUUCUUCAGUCGGACGGCUUCCCUGACCACCGGUGUCCACCACGGGGUUCGAGGGUUACCGCCCCUUGAUGCACCUGAAGACCUUGAGGCCACAACUCACUGCCGCGGCUUCAGCAAUGGAGGUUUUGAACAUUCACCACUCUGGUUCAAUGUCCCCUACCUCCACAGGAAUGUGAGAGAAGCUCUGCCGGAGGUGUGAGUUGAAAAUCUUUUCGACCGGGGCCUCCUCCAGACGUUCCCAGUUCACCCUCACUACACACUUGGAUUUACCGGGUCUGUCCCGAGUCUUCCCCCAUCCUCUGACCCAGCUCACAACCAGAUGGUGAUCAGUUGACAGCUCUGCCCCUCUCUUUACCAGUGUCCAGAACAUGCGGCCUCAGAUCAGACGAUACGAUUACAAAAUCGAUCAUUGAUCUUUGGCCUAGGGUGCUCUGGUACCACGUACACUUAUGAACAUCCUUAUGCUCGAACAUGGUGUUUGUUAUGGACAAUCCGUGACUGGCAGUAACAAACAAAGUAACAAAGUCCAGUAACAAACACCCGCUCGGGUUCAGAUCAGGGAGGCCAUUCCUCCCAAUCACGCCUCUCCAGUUAUCUCCAUCGUCGCCCACGUGCGCAUUGAAGUCUCCCAGUAGGACUAUGGAGUCCCCUACUGGAGCCCCAUGCAGGACUCCAUUCAGGGUCUCCAAAAAGGCCGAAUACUCUGAGCUGCUGUUUGGUGCAUAUGCACAGACAACAGUCAGAGUUUUCCCCCCCACCACCCGAAGGCAUAGGGAGGCAACUCUUUUGUCCACCGGGGUAAACUCCAAUGUAGCAGCACUCAGCCGGGGUCUUAUGAGUAUCCCCACACCCUCAAACCUCAGUGAUAAUAGAAGUUCAUUUAGGGUUGUCAAAAUUCGAGAGUGUAAAUCAGGUUGAUGCGCGCGCGUAAAUCAAACAUCCGCGAGCAAAUCUCCGUCUCGCGCGAGCAAAAGUUCAUCUUGCGCGAGAUAUUUUCUCCCUCGUGAAACGUGAACUUCCUCGCUCGCGAGGUUAGUCUCUGCUCGCACUCGAAGGUGUUUUCUACGCACUCGCUGUUUUUCUUUUUGACAGUAAGAGGCCGGAGCCAAUCACCAUGGUAUCUACAUCUGAUUGGUUACAAACCCUGUCUUUGGAUUGGCUGGAGUGAUGCAUUCACACAACUAUAGAAGCCCAUUUCCGCACUAGAAAGGGGAUGGAAAGUCGAAAUUAUGAGAUAAAACGUUGUCAAAAAACAAACGCCCCCUUCGGUAAUCGUAGUGGACCGUAGAUGACAACCAGCUACAAGCAUCAUUUACCAUAAUCAUCAUUACCGGCACAUUAAGAGCAAUGCGUCCAGCUCGCAGACCGGUCUGUCAGUCUAAAUCUGAAUAUCUUGCAAACUUUACCGACUUUUUUUUUUAAAAAGUCGAUCCGUAUUGAAAGUUGGCAAGAUAUUCACAGAUCUGGACUUUUUCCCGGUAUUUUACAAAUACGGACCGGACCCUAAAGAAAGGGGAUGGAAAGUCGAAAUUAUGAGAUAAAACGUUGUCAAAAAACAAACGCCCCCCUUCGGUAAUCGUAGUGGACCGUAGAUGACAACCAGCUACAACCAUCAUUUACCAUAAUCAUCAUUACCGGCACAUUAAGAGCAAUGCGUCCAGCUCGCAGACCGGUCUGUCAGUCUAAAUCUGAAUAUCUUGCCAACUUUACCGCCUUUUUUUUUCAAAAAGUCGAUCCGUAUUGAAAGUUGGCAAGAGAUUUGCUUGCGCGAGACGGAGAUUUGCUCGCGGAUGUUUGAUUUACGCGCGCGCAUCAACCCAACCUCGAAUUUUGACAGUGAUUUGCCGCCAUAGUACGAUGAAACGCUCAGGCCCUCAUGUACGUAUAUUGCAAAUGUAGCGUUAUCAGCGCCACGGCCAACCCACAGAAACCGCAUGCUGUAUUACCUCAGCUUACAUUGUAUUUUGGAAACCUGCAGCUCAUCAGGUAAUCAGCACCUUUCUCUGCCCACCAUACAACACAUUUAAAUGCGCAAUUCAUUGGACCUCCUUCUCUUAAAGGGUUAGCCAAAACAGCAAAAACAAAAGUUCAGUGACAACGAAGCUGAAAUUAUUUCGGCAUUAGUUACUAGGGAAAUGUAUGUAUUGACUAGUGCGCUGUAGAAAAGCAUUUGUGCUGUGAUACAGCUGAGUGGAAAAAAUUGAAAUGAUCCUGAUCAUCCAGUAAUUGUAAGGAGGAGGUGGGUUUAACAACUGCUGGAAUGGAAUGUGAAUGCUGAGUCUGAGAUUCAAUGUCAUCUUUGAUUUUAUCCAGUAACUCUAAUGUGAUCCUUGUGGCCAAAAUCUUUUUAGCCAUAUUUGCCAUUUUCAUUUUUUUGCGACAGGCAGUCUAUGCUUUCGCCUCAAUGCGCCUUGUGCAUACCUCGCCAUGCUUUUACGGGCACCUUGCAAAACAAAUACACCUGAAGUAGGAGCAAAAGUGUUAGUACAUGAGGCCUUCAGUGUUCUGGUCCAUUGGCCCCGAGGUAUGAUGUCUGGUUCAGUAACAGGAGCAAGUCUGUUGAGAUUAAAGCACUUGUAGAGGUGGCAUAGCAGAGAAAUUGGGCAGAAGCUCUUGACAUGCGCUGAGUCUCUAGUUUGAGAAGACAUUAAAUCUGGAUCAUUGGGAAUUUUUUUGUCAGCAUGCACUUAUCAGCUUGAGGAUCCAUUUCUUUACCAGAGGUCCAAAGUGUAUGAUCUCUUCAAAUAAAAUGUUAUUCACUCUGAUGGCUCUUUCGGUUUUAAAGGCGUGAACGCCAUAUCAGCGUUCACGUUCAGUCCCAUGCAGUGACUAGCAGUGAUGUCAGUAAGAGGGUAGGCAGGGAGUAAUGAAAGCCCGAUUACCUGAUUUGUUGUUCAGGCUAACACGUCAAAACAGUAAAUGUUACUGUGGGUAAGUGGGGAGCACGGUUGUCCUCCAAUCAGAGGGUUGGCGGUUCAAUCCGAUCCCUGUCUAACCUGGAUGUCGACGUGUCCUUGAGCAAGACACUUAACUCAACAUUGCACCUGUAGCUGCGACUGCAGUGUGGGAAUGUUAGUUACUGAUGGUAACUGUCUGGUAGCUCCUGUCAUCAAUGUAUGAAUGGGUGAAUGAUGUCGUGUUAAAGCGCUUCGAGUGGUUGGAAGACUAGAAAGACGCUAUAAAAGUACAGUCCAUUUACACACAAGCGUAACACACCCCCAAAAAAGACUGCAGACAGUGUCCUCUUAGGACAGUUCUAGCUUUCGCAACCGAUUGUAACAUUAUUGACGACAAAGUCCAGCCUCUCUGACUUUAUUGCUUAAUUAUUGCAAAGCGGGCAAUUAUAUUUGUCAGUCAGCAUCAAUGAAAACACGCACGGCUCAACUGAAUAUGAAGAAAUGUGGCUUGUUGUCCGCAUCCAUUCAACCACACUUAUCAAUUCAAUAGUAAGCCUGAAAUAGUUUCUGACUCACCAAUCAGUAUUUGUGCAUAAAAUCUAUCCGCCGCUCUUUCAUCGUGACCACGUCGAUCACAGCAUUGUAAAACUCAUUUCAGAUCUGUGAUAUCAGCAAACACCGCUGUCAUAUUGACUUUGAAUUUCCAGGGGAUUACGCUUAAAACGUACUUUGUGUAGUGACGUCAGCUGCGCAAAUGUCCAGUAAUGUCUCGAUUUGAAUUGGUCCAUGUUUGUGGAGUUGUGGCUUUUGAAGUACAUGUUGAAGAAUACUGUAUCGAAGUGUGCAUUCGCUUGUCGUUCGCAAUGAAUGGACGUUAAAAGCACUGCUUAUUCUACCAUUUCUUUGUAUUUGACUAUGCGAAUGGCUAUAUUUGUCAUCGUAACGACUGACAAACACAAUAUCAGGGUUCUACCCUGAUCUCCAUCGUCCGCUGUUGAAGGACUUACGUUUUUUUUGCGUCGUUGAUCAAAUUGAGCUGUCAGUUUUCGGCCACAUUUCUACUGCAUCUCCAUCUGCGUUGUUGUUGCCGUAUCCCCAUUCUGUGCUGUGGCUGUCUUUUGCUUGGUAGAAUUUGCAAAUUAACCGAAGUGUAUGCUUCUACCAUGAUCCCCUGAUUGAUUAGGUAAUAUUACGUUGUAAAUCUGAAACCGAAAGCCUGUUUGCUCAUAGACCUUUAGAACUUAUUUACAUACAACACAUAUUAUUGUCUAAAAACAUUUAGACUACAUGAUCCUUUAUUCUUAAUCAUGGUAUGAGACUGAAACAGUUUUGGCAUCAGAUUUGACUUCAUUAAAUGAGUAAGUGAUGAUGCAGAACCAACAGAGUAGUGCACAUCAUCGGCUUCUAUUGUGACGACAACAGAGCCAUCGCUACGGAUCACAAGUCCGCACAUAGUGUCAACAGAGUGUGUUUUUAGAGAGACAAUCGCCCUCUGGCUUGGCCUUCACCUCACUCACCUGCGCCUGUCCAAAUGGCAGCAUGUGGUCCAAUCACUUGUCAGUAAAGUUAGAGGACAAUCCAGUGUUAGAUGUAUUAUAUAUAUGUUAUUUACUAUGAAGUCGUUCACAUCACUUCACUGUUUUAUUUGGUAGAUUACAGAUCCACACCUCUCAUGUCACUUUACUGUCCUUUUUCACUUUCCUGCUGUUUUUUCCCUACACCUGUCUCCAGUUUCCCAUCACACACCACUCUUUCUUCUUCAGUAACUCAAAUAACCACUUGUUACAACUAAGGAAUGCAGAAUACCAUCUCUGAAUGCACAAUACGUCGAAGCUUGAAUAAAAUGGGCUACAGCAGCAGAAGACCACAGACCACUCAGCUGCAACAUUCUGAUGGUAGGGUCAAUUUGGAAUAAACAACAUGAUAGCAUGGAUCCAUCCUGCCUUGUAUCAACGGUUCAGGCUGGUGGUGGUGUAAUGGUGUGGGGGAUAUUCUUUUCCCUUUAUGACCACAGUGUCCCCGUCUUGGCUACUUCCAGCAGGCAAGCUCAUAUCAUCUCAAACUGUUUUCAUGAUGCCCUCCACAGUCACCAGAUCAAAAUCCAAUAGAGCACCUUUGGGAUGUGCUGGAACGGGAGAUUUGCAUCAUGGAUGUGCAGCUGACAAAUCUGCAGCAACUGCGUGAUGCUACCAUGUCAAUAUGGACCAAAUUCUCUGAGGAAUGUUUCCAACACCAUUUUAAAAGUAUGCCACAAAGAAUUAAGGCAGUUCUGAAGGCAAAACCUAAUAAAUUGUCCGGGGAGGGUAUGUUUCCCGUAGUGCAACUGGAUAGCGUCUUCAAUUGGAUGCUCACUAUAGUUUGAGCUGCAUGACCUCCCUAGCAAAUUAAGCUGACUCAGGUGUCAUCAUACAUCAAAUAGAGUGAGAGAGGGAGAUUGUGUCCGUCCUCUGUUAGAAAAGGUGUUGUAUUAGCUAGUAUCCCUUGUCUGAACCCUUUGGGGUGUUCUUACUAUACUGGCCCUGGGGGGUGGUAGCCAGCUUAAAAGGCCUGUCAAUAGAUUUAAAACAAUGUAUCUCACAUUUUAGAAAAUUUUGAUUAUUUGCAAUUUAGAAUUUAUUUUUCAUCCAAAGACCUUGUGUACUGAUGCUUUUGUGACCACUUCAGGCGUUUUUGUUUCACAAUGUGCGCAUAAAAGCAUGACGAGGUACGAACAAACAUGCCACACUGAGUUAAAAGCUGCCUGUCGUGUGAACUGAAAAUGGCAAAUUGCGCUUUUCCAUGUCAUGCAAAUGCAUAUCCAUGAUAGAAAGAGAGAAGGAGGCUCAUUCAAAUGCACAUUUAAAUGCUCGCAGUGAACAUUAUAGUGGGCGGAGAAAGGCGCUGAUCAACCGAAGAACUGCAGGUUUCUUACAUACGACUGAAGUAUCACAGCAGGCGCUUUCCGCGGGUUGGCCAUGGUGCUGAUAAGGCUACGUUUGCAAAUCGACUUACACUAUUUUAGACACUGUAUAAUUGUUUUGUUUUUUAAACACAUUUGAUCAUCUCUAAGGACGAAUUCCACCGGUUGGCAACAUCUUGAACUAGCGACUCUUCCUGCUGUCAUUGGGCAGUGUGCUGUGCUGUGCUCUUAACUCUCCAUCAUUUGACGGGCGGGACAUUUAGCUAGGACGGGUCUCGGUCUCUCCGAUCUAACUGACUGCAGUUUCAGGGGUUGCGUUAAGUGAGCUAAAAUAUUUUAUUGCAUUAAUCUCUGCCACAAUAAUCUCAUAGGCCCUACUUGUCAUGAAACAUAAAAGUGGAUUUCCAAACCAGAUUGGUUGAUGCCUGGAAUGAUGAGAUGGAAACAGAUGAUCCCCAGUGGCAACCCUUAAAGGAAACACCCAAAAAGAAGACUCUGGCAUGUGGCAUAUACAGUGGCACUAAAGAUUAUUCAACCGCUAGAUGUAUUUACAACUUGCAGAUGUAUUCAAUAAAUAACUCAAAAAAAGACAAUUUAAAUAGCUCAAUACAACUAAUGUUACAAAGGGUUUCUCCAAAUUCUAAACAAAAUGACACUUUCAAUACAGUCUCAAAAUGAUUAAACUUGCUUAAUAGAAUCCCUCAUUAGAGCACACAUUUACAAAUCAGGUGUUGUCUCAAGCACAUGGAUUUGAUACCUUCAGCACACCUGAGACACCUAUUCUAAAUACAUGUUGCAUAUUAAAAGUAUGGUAAAUGUUAACAGAAGAGACAAACAAUAAAAUGCCCACAAAAGAUAUCAAAAGUGCUGUACUGUAUGCUCCCACAAAUAUUUGCUUAGUUCACUAGCAUUCAGUCACUACAUGGGUGUGGCAGAUAGAGGAAGCCAUCUACAGCUGACACUAGAUUUGUGACUUGCAGCCAGGCUUUGGGUCAGCAGGCCCUGGUGUUGACCUAAACCCAAAAGCAUGAGAAAAAUCCACUCAAAUAAUCUCCGAACCAUAUUCAGGAAGAAGGAAGCACACGUUGAGAAGAAGGACCUGCCUACAGAGAAGCGUGGCGGUGGCUCUGUGAUGCUCUGCAGCGGCAUUGAUUCUUCUGCCGCUGGAAACCUGCAACGUGUGGAGAAUGAGAUGGAUCGGGCAGUCCGAGGAGAAAAGGUCAGGUCCUUUGUGAAGGAGUUCGGCCCUUCCAACAAGAGAAUGAUCAAAAGAAUACCUCAAAGUCCACCGCGGCCCUGUUCUGAGAAUAUUAAAGAGCUGGAAACCAUUACCCAUGAUGCAUCAUCUGACGCUGUCAGAACCUGGCCUCUGGCUAUUACCAUUGCGUCAGGUAAGGAAGGAAACUGGCACACACAUCCCCAUCCAUAUCAACGGGACGGAGGUUGAGCGUGUCGCCAGCUUCAAGUUCCUGGGUGUCCACAUCUCUAAGGACCUCUCUUGGACCCUCAACAUCUCAUCCCUGCAAGAAAGCACA
ensembl:lncRNA